rnacentral:lncRNA from 1 species
AAAGGGUUGUAGAUAAAAUUCCUAAAUUCAUUGGAUAAAGAUGGAAGAGGAAAUGGGUGGUUAACUAACGAUUUAAGAGGAUUAAAGACCUAUCAAGUUUGGAUUUCUUGCAGACAUUUCCAUAAUCCUUUUUGUGCACCCCUGCAGAUCUUGUACUUCUUAAUCUAUUUUUCUCUAUUGGUAUUCAAAUCCUUAUAAUAAUCUCUCAUUCAACAUUCACUCUUUUUUUCAUAUUCUUCAUUGCGAUGCAGAGGAAAAAGAGGAGUCUCACUCUGCACUACACAUACAGCUGUGGCAAAGGUCAUUGGUUUUACAACCUCUGGACAUAGAACAUCACCGCCUAACAUCUUAAUCAUUAGAUCAAGUUGUUGCUCUAUCUGAUCGAAGAGUUUCGCGGUGUAGUUGGUCACCAAGUUGAAUCUGGAUCGCUGCUUUAAUACUAAGUUGUUAUGACCUCGAUUUAUGAUUCUGAUUUAAGAAAAUAUAUAUUCAGAGUUUGAGAGAAAGAGAGGGAGAGUGUGGAGAAAAAGGUUUAGGAUUUGAGAAAGAUAGAAUAAGAAAUUAUCAAGAGAAAAAAAAUAAAAAAUCAUAAAAGAAAGAUAGACAUUGAGAAAUAGACAAAUAGAAAUUUGAGGAAGAUAGUAACUGCUUUCAUUGAUUGCUUGCCUAUAUACAAAUAGGGGAUUUUUAUAGAAAAAAAAUGUGUAAACAAGUAAAUAAACGGUCAAUCUUUCAUAGAAGGGUAAAGGAUUGUAGAUGAAAUUUCUAUAUUCAUUGGAUGAAGAUGGAAGAGGAAGUAGCUGAUUAACUAAAGGUUUGAGAGGAUUAUAGAUUCAUCGGGUUUGGAUUUCCUACAAAUAUUUUCAUAGUUCUUUUCGUGCACCUCUAUUGAUCUUAUACUUUAUUUACACUCAGGUCCUUAUGAAAGUUUAUGAAAAUACACAUUGUCUACUUUCUCAAAUUGAAGGACUAAUGUGUUUUGAAGAUUCAAACAAGUUCAAAGAAUAGUGCACAACUAUGGAUGAAGAAAUUCAUGUACUUAAGAAAUUGUUAAACAUUAAACAUUUCUACGUUAAGGGGAAGUGUUAGAGUUAAUGUAGAAAUUAAUUGGUUAUUGUUUGUUAAUUUAUUAUCUUGAAACUAGUUAAUUAGUUGAGUGUUAGUAUUAAAUUAAUAGAUUAAUUUUCUAUGGUUGGUAGUUAGAAAUUUUAUCCAUUUAAGG